UUGCAGGCAAAUUACCAUGAUUGGGCGUAAGAUUCUGAUUGCAAGUAGGAUCUUUAGAGCUGGCUUGAGAGUCCUGAGAAGGAUGGAUAUUUUGAGCAGGAUAGGAGGUCUGGUUCUCGCUCAAUCCCAUAUCAUCCAUUUUAAAGUCAUUUGGUUGGCACUCUUCUCCAUUGACUUCUAAUAUCCUAAUCUUCCAAACAUUUCCCAUCAGAUUAAUAGAAGU
rnacentral:lncRNA from 1 species